CGGGGCAUGGUGCUUUCAGUGCCCAAUUUUUUAUAGAACAUGUAGUUUUCCAUUAUAAAGGGGACUGUAAUGCGAUGUCUUUAAGUAGGGGGUUGUCUUACAUUCAGAGUCGACUUAUGUUUCAACAUGAACGGGAAUGAAGUGUUACGCAAUUCUUUUAACGAAAUUUACCUCUGCUGUUUAGUUUCCAUAUUGUGCGUAAAAGCAACAGUGCGUGCACUUUCAGCUGCUCAGUUUACCUUCAAUGCUGCUCUCAUUUUGUAGAGUUCAUCACAUGUGCAUGUGCAACACAUUGGCGGAGGCAAUACGAACUGCAUUUCUCGCUAGCUGGACAAGUCGGAAUGGCAAUGCACCUUGGAGAACAAGACUCGAAUUGUGAAAGUCUGGUGGUCAGCUCUUUGCAAGGACAUGGUGCUAUGCAGCCUUCAGCUGCUGAAGAGGCAAGAUUACAUUUCUGAAUUACACUACACGAUUACAUUACAUUUGAAGAGGCAAGAUUACAUAUUUAAGUGUU